GAUUAGAUACCCUGGUAGUCCACGCCGUAAACGGUGGAUGCUUGAUGUGGGGCCCGUUCCACGGGUUCCGUGUCGGAGCUAACGCGUUAAGCAUCCCGCCUGGGGAGUACGGCCGCAAGGCUAAAACUCAAAGAAAUUGACGGGGGCCCGCACAAGCGGCGGAGCAUGCGGAUUAAUUCGAUGCAACGCGAAGAACCUUACCUGGGCUUGACAUGUUCCCGACAGCCGUAGAGAUAUGGCCUCCCUUCGGGGCGGGUUCACAGGUGGUGCAUGGUCGUCGUCAGCUCGUGUCGUGAGAUGUUGGGUUAAGUCCCGCAACGAGCGCAACCCUCGCCCUGUGUUGCCAGCACGUCAUGGUGGGAACUCACGGGGGACCGCCGGGGUCAACUCGGAGGAAGGUGGGGAUGACGUCAGAUCAUCAUGCCCCUUACGUCCAGGGCUUCACGCAUGCUACAAUGGCCGGUACAACGGGAUGCGACACGGCGACGUGGAGCGGAUCCCUGAAAACCGGUCUCAGUUCGGAUUGGAGUCUGCAACCCGACUCCAUGAAGGCGGAGUCGCUAGUAAUCGCGGAUCAGCAACGCCGCGGUGAAUGCGUUCCCGGGCCUUGUACACACCGCCCGUCAAGUCAUGAAAGUGGGUAGCACCCGAAGCCGGUGGCCUAACCCUUUGUGGAUGGAGCCGUCUAAGGUGAGACUCGUGAUUGGGACUAAGUCGUAACAAGGUAGCCGUACCGGAAGGUGCGGCUG
rnacentral:rRNA from 1 species